rnacentral:rRNA from 1 species
GUGGGGAAUAUUAGGCAAUGGGCGAAAGCCUGACCUAGCAACGCCGCGUGAAGGAAGAAGGCCUUCGGGUUGUAAACUUCUUUUAUGAGGGACGAAGGACGUGACGGUACCUCAUGAAUAAGCCACGGCUAACUACGUGCCAGCAGCCGCGGUAAUACGUAGGUGGCGAGCGUUGUCCGGAUUUACUGGGUGUAAAGGGUGCGUAGGCGGACUGGCAAGUCAGAUGUGAAAUACAGGGGAUCAACCCCUGAACUGCAUUUGAAACUGUUGGUCUUGAGUAUCGGAGAGGCAAGCGGAAUUCCUAGUGUAGCGGUGAAAUGCGUAGAUAUGACACAGAACACCGAUUGCGAAGGCAGCUUACUGAGAUGAAACUGACGCUCAUGCACGAAAGCGUGGGGAUCAAACAGGAUUAGAAACCCUGGUAGUCC